rnacentral:misc_RNA from 1 species
AAAGUCGUAACAAGGUUUCCGUAGGUGAACCUGCGGAAGGAUCAUCAACAAAUAUAUAAAGAAGAAGACCAUUUGGUCAUCUUUUAAAUUUACCAUUUGUAAACUAUUAUUUUAAACUAAAAUAUAAUAUAAACUUUUAACAAUGGAUCUCUUGGCUCUU